AUCGUUUGACUGUUUACAGGAGGCGCAGCGGAGCCCUUGGCCUCAGUCAGUCAGGCGCUGGGGAGCGUUUCGGUUUCACUUCCGGUGAGGGGCCGCGCCUGAGAGGGCGGGCAGUGAAGCAAACGGACGGCGAGCGCGGGCGGUGGCAGUGACGGCGGCGCCGCUGCCGGGGGGCGUGCGGUAACGCGGCGGCGGCGGCGGCGGCGACGGCGGCUGGGCCUCAAGCGCCUGCAGCCCACCUCCCGGAGGCGGGCUCCCGGCGCGAGGACGGACGAGAAGAUGGAGGAGCUGGUGGUGGAAGUGCGGGGCUCCAAUGGCGCUUUCUACAAGGCAUUUGUAAAAGAUGUCCAUGAAGAUUCUAUAACAGUUGCUUUUGAAAACAACUGGCAACCAGAGAGACAGAUUCCAUUCCAUGAUGUGAGAUUCCCACCACCUGUAGGUUAUAAUAAAGAUAUAAACGAAAGUGAUGAAGUUGAGGUUUAUUCCAGAGCAAAUGAAAAAGAGCCUUGCUGUUGGUGGUUAGCUAAAGUGAGGAUGAUAAAGGGUGAGUUUUAUGUGAUAGAAUAUGCAGCAUGUGAUGCUACGUAUAAUGAAAUUGUCACAAUUGAGCGUCUACGAUCUGUUAAUCCCAACAAACCUGCUACAAAAGAUACUUUCCAUAAGAUCAAGCUGGAGGUGCCAGAAGAUUUACGACAAAUGUGUGCCAAAGAAUCAGCACAUAAGGAUUUUAAAAAGGCAGUUGGUGCCUUCUCUGUAACUUAUGAUCCAGAAAAUUAUCAGCUGGUAAUUUUGUCCAUCAAUGAAGUCACCUCAAAGCGAGCCCACAUGUUGAUUGACAUGCACUUUCGAAGUCUGCGCACCAAGUUGUCUCUUAUACUGAGAAAUGAAGAAGCCAGUAAACAACUGGAGAGUUCAAGGCAGCUUGCCUCAAGAUUUCAUGAACAGUUUAUCGUACGAGAAGAUCUGAUGGGUUUAGCUAUUGGUACUCAUGGUGCUAAUAUUCAGCAAGCUAGAAAAGUGCCUGGCGUCACUGCUAUUGAUUUAGAUGAGGAUACCUGCACAUUUCAUAUUUAUGGAGAGGAUCAAGAUGCAGUGAAAAAGGCUAGAAGCUUUCUGGAAUUUGCUGAAGAUGUCAUACAGGUUCCACGAAACUUAGUAGGCAAAGUAAUAGGAAAAAAUGGAAAGCUGAUUCAAGAGAUCGUGGACAAGUCAGGAGUUGUGAGGGUGAGGAUUGAGGCUGAAAAUGAGAAAAGUGUCCCACAAGAAGAGGAAAUUAUGCCACCAAGUUCCCUACCUUCCAAUAAUUCAAGGGUUGGACCUAACUCCUCUGAAGAAAAGAAACAUUUAGAUACAAAGGAAAACACCCAUUUUUCUCAACCUAACAGUACAAAAGUCCAGAGGGUGUUAGUGGUUUCAUCAAUUGUAGCAGGGGGACCCCAGAAACCUGAACCCAAGGCUUGGCAGGGUAUGGUACCAUUUGUUUUUGUGGGAACAAAAGACAGCAUCGCUAAUGCCACUGUUCUUUUGGAUUAUCACCUGAACUAUUUAAAGGAAGUAGACCAGUUGCGUUUGGAGAGAUUACAAAUUGAUGAGCAGUUGCGACAAAUUGGAGCUAGUUCUAGACCACCACCAAAUCGUACAGAUAAGGAAAAAGGCUAUGUGACUGAUGAUGGUCAAGGAAUGGGUCGAGGUAGUAGACCUUACAGAAAUAGGGGGCACGGCAGACGCGGUCCUGGAUAUACUUCAGCUCCAACAGAGGAAGAGAGAGAGGUAGUAGAGGUGAUAUUCCAGAGUGGGGAAAGACACCUACUCAUAAGGCCAAUCUUGAACCUAACCCUUAACCCUCCUCCUAUCAGUUUGUUCUUUUGACCAAUGAAUUUCCAUCUCACUGUGGAGCUCUUCCCCCCACUCCCAUUCCCUAUAUCAUUAACCCCCUCAGAUGUAAACAGUUGUUUUAUAGUGAUCUUUUGUUUAGCCCUUCCCACUGGGAGUGGGAGGGAGAUUGUGGGGCAUGCAUCAGGAAUGCAUAUCCCCUUUCAUUGGGGAUAAUCCCACAGUAGCCCCUCCCCUGAGACACAACAAUCAUGGUGGCCUUUAUUGGCUGCUUUUAGAGUUGGCCAAAUUGUACAUCCUUCUGUCCCUGUGUCUACUAAAAGCUCUCAUUAUAGAAGUUUUGCUUAUCAAAGUAUUACAUUGUUAUAGACAAUUUUUCCUCUAUUGAUCACAGCUAUUUAAAAAUAUGGCACAUUCAGAUCUGAACUUAGACAGCUAACAAAACACCUUUUUAAAAGAUGUCUAACAAAAAUUACUUCAAAUAUGGCAAGCCUUUUACUUUGAAUUUAAAACACAGAUAAGUAUAUUCUUUGGUAGGCUUCUAAAUUGGGAAGAAUAUUGAAUCACCCCUGAAACUUCAUCUCUGGAAGCUUCUGUUAACCUUUUUUUUAAAGUCAGACAAUGGUAUAUAACUUUUAACUCUCGAUAGGAACUAAUUCUGAAGCAUCAAAUGCUUCUGAAACAGAAUCUGACCACAGAGACGAACUCAGUGAUUGGUCAUUAGCUCCAACAGAGGAAGAGAGGGAGAGCUUCCUGCGCAGAGGAGACGGACGGCGGCGUGGAGGAGGAGGAAGAGGACAAGGAGGAAGAGGAAGAGGAGGAGGCUUCAAAGGAAACGACGAUCAUUCCCGAACAGAUAAUCGUCCACGUAAUCCAAGAGAGGCUAAAGGAAGAACAGCUGAUGGAUCCCUGCAGAGUGCCUCCAGUGAAGGGAGCCGGCUGCGCACGGGUAAAGAUCGUAACCAGAAGAAGGAAAAGCCAGACAGCGUAGAUGGGCUGCAACCGCUGGUGAAUGGAGUACCCUAAAUAAGCUACAUAAUUCCGAAGUUAUAUUUCCUCUACCAUUUCCGUAAUUCUUACUCCAUUUUAGAAAACUUUGUUAGGCCAAAGACAAAUAGUAGGCAAGAUGGCACAGGGCAUGAAGUGAACACAAAUUCUGCAAAGAAUUUUUUUGAUAUUGGCAAUAAUCAACAAUCUUCCAGAUUUGCACAAAAAGAUCUUGAAAUUUGAUGCAUAACUUUUAAGUACACUUAACACUUCAGGGCAGGAUUUUACUUUUAUUUUUUAAAAAUACUAAGCAGUGAUCUUUAUUAACUAGGACCAUUUUCCUGAAUUGGACUAUAUAACUCAGCAGUAUGUUUCAGUCUUUCGGAGUAAAUCACAUUUGUGAUAAUCAUACUAGAUCUCUGUCUUCAGUCUCAUUUAAAGUCUUCAUGAAAUGCUGUGCCAUUUCAUGUCCUGUGUCAGUUUAUGUUUUGGUCCACUUUUCCAGUAUUUUAGUGGACCCUGAAAUGUGUGUGAUGUGACAUUUGUUAUUUUCAUUAGCAAAAAAAAGAGUUGUAUGAUCUGUGCCUUUUUUAUAUCUUGGCAGGUAGGAAUAUUAUAUUUGGAUGCAGAGUUCAGGGAAGAUAAGUUGGAAACACUAAAUGUUAAAGAUGUAGCAAACCCUGUCAAACAUUAGUACUUUUUAGAAGAAUGCAUGCUUUCCAUAUUUUUUUCCUUACAUAAACAUCAGCUUAGGCAGUAUAAAAAAUAGGACUUGUUUUUUGUUUUUGUUUUGUUGCACUGAAGUAUGACAAAUAGUGUUAUUGGAAGGGAUGUGUAAUUUUUCUGUAUAGACAGGAGAAGAAAUAACUAUCUUUUCAUUUGGGAGAGGCUAAAGAUGUUUUCAGCUACUUGCAAAUCUUCCUGGUCGAAAGUUAGUAGGAUAUGCCUGCUCUUUGGCCUGAUGACGAAUUUCAACUUUGAAACAUUUUCUUUUGUCCUCCCCAAAUUUUGUCAAGUUUUUUCAUUCAUAUUUUACAUUAAAGCUUAUUUUGGGGAGAUAUGAAGGUCAUCUUCAUAAAUACAUAACAACCCUCAAAAGUAUAUAGGUACUUUGUCUGAGAAACAUUGAAAGCAGGUUAAAUGUUUUGUAACUUUGAAAUACAAAGUCUAAUGCAUAAGCAGAACCGAAAAGCAGACCGACAAUUGGUUAACAAAUAAUUCUUUUUUUUUCUUUUUUGAUGUGUUGAGUCUUAUUUUUGUGGGGUUUUUUUCUCUCUUUUUUUUUAAAUGACUGAAAUUCACUGAAGAAAAAUAUGUGAAGGACCUUCACUCUGAGAUGUUAUAUUUUUUUUUAAAAAUAACUCUGAGUAGGGGUACCACUGAAUCUGUACAGAGCCGUACAAACCGAAGUUCUGCCUCUGAUGUACUUUGUGAAUUUGUUUCUUUGAAUUUUCAUUUUUCAUUUAGUUUUCCUUGCAUACAAAUAAGCAUAUAAAAUGGCAACAAACUGCACAUGAUUUCACAAAUAUUAAAAUGUCUUUUAAAAAGUAUUGCCAAACAGUAAUGUUGAUUUCUAGUUAUUUAUUCUGGGAAUGUAUAGUAUUUGAAAACAGAAAUUGGUACCUUGCACACAUCAUCUGUAAACUGUUCAGUUUAAAAUACUGUAGAUAAUUAACCAAGGUAGAAUGACCUUGUAAUGUAACUGCUCUUGGGCAAUAUUCUCUGUACAUAUUAGCGACAACAGAUUGGAUUUUAUGUUGACAUUUGUUUGGUUAUAGUGCAAUAUAUUUUGUAUGCAAACAGUUUCAAUAAAGUUUGAUCUUCCUCUGCUAAAUUGAUGUUGAUGCAAUCCUUACAAUGAUUGCUUUUAAAAUUUUAAGAUAGGAAAGAAAUCUAUAGAAAGUGUUCUGUUACAAAAUGUAACUGUUACCAUUGGAAAUUUCACAUGUCAAAGGAGGUUAGCCGUUAUUUACCAACUUUCAAGAACGUAAUCUUGUUCAAUAAGGUGAAAUAUCAAUGAUUGGUACACAGUCACAAUGUACCGUUAAAAUAUGCACUAAGUCUCUUUUUUUUACAAAGGCUGAAUUCAGCAAGGCGCUAACUUGCUUAAAUGUGAAUUACUAACUUCUAAAACUGUAAUUUGAUUCACAUCUUUUCAAAUGGAGUUGGAGUUGAUUCAUAUUACAAUAUUUGUGUGCAAAAUGUGUAUGUUUUUCAGUUUAAAGUCAUGUUUUUAAAAUCUUAUUAAAGUUUCAAAAAUCUGAAGAUUGUUUAUCUUAUCUAGAUGUAAAUUUUUAUUAAAAAGUUGCACUUAUGAAAAAGCAAAA